GCGUCGAGCGGCGGACGGGUGAGUAACACGUGAGAAUCUGCCCAUUAGUGGGGGAUAACUCGGGGAAACUCGAGCUAAUACCGCAUAAUCCCUACGGGGGAAAGCAGGGGAUCUUCGGACCUUGCGCUGAUGGAUGAGCCCGCGUCGGAUUAGCUUGUUGGUGGGGUAAUGGCCCACCAAGGCGACGAUCCGUAACUGGUCUGAGAGGAUGGCCAGUCACACCGGGACUGAGACACGGCCCGGACUCCUACGGGAGGCAGCAGUGGGGAAUCUUGGACAAUGGGCGCAAGCCUGAUCCAGCCAUGCCGCGUGUGUGAAGAAGGCCUUCGGGUUGUAAAGCACUUUCAGUAGGGAGGAAGGCUUUGGGUUAAUACCCUGGAGUACUUGACGUUACCUACAGAAGAAGCACCGGCUAAUUUCGUGCCAGCAGCCGCGGUAAUACGAAAGGUGCGAGCGUUAAUCGGAAUUACUGGGCGUAAAGCGCGCGUAGGCGGUGUGUUAAGUCGGAUGUGAAAGCCCAGGGCUCAACCUUGGAAUUGCAUCCGAUACUGGCACGCUAGAGUGCAGUAGAGGGAGGUGGAAUUUCCGGUGUAGCGGUGAAAUGCGUAGAGAUCGGAAGGAACACCAGUGGCGAAGGCGGCCUCCUGGACUGACACUGACGCUGAGGUGCGAAAGCGUGGGGGAGCAAACAGGAUUAGAUACCCUGGUAGUCCACGCCCGUAAACGAUGUCUACUAGCCGUUGGGGGUCCUUAGUGACUUUGG
rnacentral:rRNA from 1 species